rnacentral:SRP_RNA from 1 species
GCUAUGUGCAGUGACAUGAGCCUGUAGUCCAAUCUACUUGGGAGGUUGAAGCAGGAAGUCGACUUGAGCCUAAGAGUUCUGGGCUACAGUGUGCUAUGCUGAUCGGGUGUCCACACUAAGUUUGGUAUUGAUAUGAUGACCUCCGUGGAGCUGGAGACCUCUAGGCCUCUAGGCCUAAGGAGGGGUGAACUAGCCCAGGUCAAAAAUGGAGUAGGUUUUCAGUGUUGAUCAGUAAUAGGAUCUUAUCACCUGUGAAUAGCCACUGCAUUCCAGCCAAGGUGACACAGGGGGCUCAGUCUCUA